UCUCUCCACUCUGCCGCCUUAAAAACACACGCGAACUCAAAAUUUUCACCGAAUCCUUGUCACACAGAUCUCCCUCUCUUUUCUUGCGAAUUGGUUUCGGCUUCUGCUGGAUAUAUAGAUCAAGCGUUCAGUCACGAGUUCAAUCGCGAGUUCUUCUUUCAUGAGCAAGGGUUUCAACUUUCAAUCGUAAGUUCUUCCAUGAUUUGUUCUUUCUCCUCUCUUGUUAUGCGAUCUAGCUAACACUCGGUUUAAAUGUACGAAACCCUUUUUCUGCUCGAUCCCUCGUUCCUCCCCAGAAAGAAGCAAAUCGCCAUGACCUAUUGCACCAGUUGAAAGCAAAAAGUCGUCGAACGGAGAAGCCCUAACGAGGUUCACUUUGAUUUUUUCCUUGAUUUUUGCCCAAAUACAAACUAGGGGUUUAAUAUUCUCUCUUAUUUGCUUAUCAAAGGUUAUGAAUUUUUAAUUUUGCUCAGCCGUCAUCUUCCACGACCACUGGGUUCGCCACGACUACUCGACGACCUUCAUUUUCGGCGAGUCUCUGGCCCUGCCUACUAAUUUGGUACUUUGCAUUCUCGCGCAGAGAGAAUUUCCCUAGUGCUCGAAUCGCCUCUCGCCAGUCCAUCUCUAGGCAACACCAAAGACUAUUAUGAGAACAAUAGGGGUCAAAGGUCUUACCCUUUAUCACUUGAAAUCCCAUCUUUAGGUUUGUGCGCA